rnacentral:rRNA from 1 species
GACGAACGCUGGCGGCGUGUUUAACACAUGCAAGUCGAGCGAUGAAACACCUUCGGGUGCGGAUUAGCGGCGAACGGGUGAGGAACACGUGAGGAAUCUGCCUUCCACUCUGGGAUAACUCCGGGAAACCGGGGCUAAUACCGGAUACUUUCAACUGGCGGCAUCGCCGGUUGAAGAAAGUUUUUCGGUGGAAGAUGACCUCGCGGCCUAUCAGCUGGUUGUGGAGGUAAAGGCUCACCAAGGCGACGACGGGUAGCCGGCCUGGGAGGGCGACCGGCCACACUGGGACUGAGACGCGGCCCAGACUCCGACGGGAGGCAGCAGUGGGGAAUAUUGGGAAAUGGAGGAAACUCUGACCCAGCGACGCCGCGUGAGGGAUGAAGGCCUUCGGGUUGUAAACCUCUUUCAGCAGGGAAUAAGCGAAAGUGAAGGUACCUGCAGAAGAAGCACCGGCUAACUAUGUGCCAGCAGCCGCCGUAA